AGCUUUGUUCUGUCGCCCGCAAUGCAGUUUUAUCCGGUAAAGCGAAUGAUUAGAGGUCUUGAGGCCAAAACUAUCUCAACCUAUUCUCAAACUUUAAAUGGGUAAGAAGCCCGGCUCGCUGGCGUGGAGCCGGGCAUGGAAUGUGAGUGCCUAGUGGGCCACUUUUGGUAAGCAGAACUGGCGCUGCGGGAUGAACCAAACGACGGGUUAAGGCGCCCAACGUGGGGAUUAAACCAAUGCCCCGAAGGCAGGGUGAUCUCAGACAAAAUGAUUAUGUAAAUAGACCAUAGCA
rnacentral:ncRNA from 1 species